UGCUGUUGAGGUUCAUGGUUUUCUAAAGAGUUCUUUUUUUUUAGGUCAUAAUAGCAAUAAAUGAAGUUAUAUAAAGUCAGGGAUUGGUCCAGGAAAGUUAGGAUUAUAGCUGCAAGUUUAGCUAUGAUUAAUUAUUGAAUAUGGGUGAGGGGCAUUUUUGCGUCUGUUAAAAAUAUUCUAAAAUAAGUGGGUGUUUGUUUUUUAGUUUUUCUAUUUACUUAAAAUCUUCCAAUUAUGAGUAAUUUGCUUCCUUUAAAAUAAAUCUGUGCAUCUGAUAUUUGGAAGCAUUUCUAGAGCAAUAGGCAUGAUAUAUGGAAGCUGGAUAUUGUUUCUUUGAACAUUUAAACCAGUUAGCCUCUUUUCUUGGUAGUCACAGCAAGAGUGUCCCGAGUGAUUGCUAACUUCCCUCCCACACUCACAUUAACUUCAGGUCUCAACUUCUACACAUUAACCAUUGCAAUCUUCCUCCACCCCUGCUAUCUUUUCUCAGCAAUCCUGCAUUCACCCUUGCCUGAGCCACUCUCUCACAAUAUGUUUUUCCGGGUAGCAGAAUAUGGAGCAAGGCUUAUGUUGAUUUUGUGCAGCCCGCAUUCCUGGAAUGUUAGUACUAAGUACAGAAUUUGACCUGUAGCACAGUGAAGAAAGAGUUCAAAUGCAAACUCCAAAGAUAUCCAUCCCACAGAAUAAAUGCCAAUAAGCAAUUUCCUUUUCCCAGCCUACCAGAGAUUUUCAUCAGAUAGCCCAUAACAGACAGAACCCAUGCCAAUAUUUUAUAACCCAUAAAAUUUCUUCAAGCAAUUGUACAGAUUUCCAGUCACCCUUUGAUCAGUCUUUGUAACAGCGACUCCAGGCCCUCGCCUAAAAAUGAUUCCUAGAUCUCGAUAUAUAUACAAUGGAAAAGACCUGGCCUUCAGAAAGCCUCUCAUUAAAGCACUAAUCUGUUCCACCACAUUCUUCCAAGACACAGCGAUCGGCAUUCUAGCUGGCCUGAAUGGCCAGUCCUAAUAAGACUGAUAGAAACAGCUUAAGUAAUUGGAUUGCUAUAUGGGAUUGAAUGUCUGACAACAAAAGAUAGCCAUCUCUAUUCGACCACCAAAUCUUUGUUCCAGCAAUGAAUUCAUUUAGCAAUGCACUUAGAGGCUCCUAAGAAAUGACAGACUGGGGACACAAAAGCUGGGCCAGCUGAUGAGCCCAAAGACAGAGGCUGCGCAAUUCCAAAAAGUUAAUUACAGUGAACAAAGGCAGCAGACGAUGACUUGUUGAAUCAUUACCAUAAUCACAUUACUGCACUCUUCUCCGGUUCCCAGCCAAGGGUGGUGAUAGCUGCUUCUCAUUCUGACCAUGCACUUCAUAAUCAUUUGCCACCUGCGAUCUACUGUCCAUGACUUCUUGGCUGAUAUCUUUUUUUUUUUUUAAUAUUCUCUUAACUAACUCAGUUUGUUUGUAUAUCCUAGACAUUUUUUUUAAUUUUUAGUGUUUUUCUAUCAAAAGAACCUGAGAGUAAAGAAGUGUUAGAAUAGCAUCAGAUGUUUGAGAUAAUGGAUAUGCUAAUUAUCCUGACUUGAUCGUUAUACAACCAACACUUGUGUGGAAAUAUCC
rnacentral:lncRNA from 1 species